rnacentral:rRNA from 1 species
UACGGGGGGGGGCAAGCGUUUGUUCGGAAUUACUGGGCGUAAAGGGCGCGUAGGCGGCCUUCUAAGUCAGACGUGAAAUCCCUCGGCUCAACCGAGGAACUGCGUCUGAUACUGGAAGGCUUGAAUCCGGGAGAGGGAUGUGGAAUUCCAGGUGUAGCGGUGAAAUGCGUAGAUAUCUGGAGGAACACCGGUGGUGUAGACGGCUUUCUGGACCGUAACUGACGCUGAGACACGAAAGCGUGGGUAGCAAACAGG